UGGGGAAUAUUGGGCAAUGGACGAAAGUCUGACCCAGCGACGCCGCGUGAGGGAUGAAGGCCUUCGGGUUGUAAACCUCUUUCAGUAGGGAAGAAGCGAAAGUGACGGUACCUAAAGAAGAAGCACCGGCUAACUAUGUGCCAGCAGCCGCGGUAAUACAUAGGGUGCAAGCGUUGUCCGGAAUUAUUGGGCGUAAAGAGCUCGUAGGUGGUUUGUUGCGUCGGGUGUGAAAUUCAGGGGCUCAACCCCUGACCUGCACUCGAUACGGGCAAGCUAGAGUUUGGUAGGGGAGACUGGAAUUCCUGGUGUAGCGGUGGAAUGCGCAGAUAUCAGGAGGAACACCAAUGGCGAAGGCAGGUCUCUGGGCCAAUACUGACACUGAGGAGCGAAAGCGCGGGGAGCGAACAGG
rnacentral:rRNA from 1 species